rnacentral:lncRNA from 1 species
AGAAUCGACCGCUCCUGCAACAAUAGACACAAACAAUUUAUUUCAGCUUUCACAAAAAUGCACUUUGAAUAGUCUUCUUUAGACUGAGGUUACGCUAAAAAUAAAACUGAAACUUCCCCUGCAGAACUGGUUGGACAUUGGUUAUUCAACAUGUAAUAGCAAACGGAUAGACUUUUACCGAUGCUGCUUGUGAGCUAUCCAUAGCCAAAUUACCAGUUGGCCUCGAAAUGAUCUGCAUAACAAAGUUCUCUUGACGCUGGGAAGCAUCUUUGCUUCGCCAUUGUUUGCUUUGACAGAUGCUCCCGACUGUUGGCGUCGGCUCCCUGAGUGGCCCUGGAAUCUGAGCAGUCGGCCACACUAUGCAUCACACCCGGUGGCAGUUGGAUAACAAAACAGCACAGAGGUGCAGAGGAAACGCCGCGCCGGUGGGAGGCUCGGCACUCGGGACGAUCUUUUCCCCAACGCUGUGUGCCGACAAACAACGCCAGCUCGGUCAUGGAACUCCCAAGAUUCAAGCAAUCCACAAGGUGAUACUAAAAUAAAAUUUGCUCGCGGGC